AUACGUAGGGUGCAAGCGUUAAUCGGAAUUACUGGGCGUAAAGCGUGCGCAGGCGGUUUUGUAAGACCGUGGUGAAAACCCCGGGCUCAACCUGGGAACUGCCGUUGUGACUGCAAGGCUGGAGUGCGGCAGAGGGGGAUGGAAUUCCGCGUGUAGCAGUGAAAGGCCGAGAUAUGCGGAGGAACACCGGUGGCGAAGGCAAUCAGCUGGGGCUGCACUGACGCUCAUGCACGAAAGCGUUGGGAGCAAAGAGAAUUAGAGACCCUGGUAGUCCGCGCCCUAAACGAUGUCAACUGGUUGUUGGGGAUUUAUUUUCUCAGUAACGAAGCUAACGCGUGUAGUUGUCCGCCUGGGGGGUUCGGCCGCAAGGUUAAAACUUAAAGGAUUUGACGGGG
rnacentral:rRNA from 1 species